GACGAACGCUGGCGGCGUGCUUAACACAUGCAAGUCGAACGGAAAGGCCCCUUUGGGGGUACUCGAGUGGCGAACGGGGGAGUAACACGUGAGUAACCUGCCCUUGACUUCGGGAUAACUUCAGGAAACUGGGGCUAAUACCGGGUAGGAAUCCUUGCUGCAUGGUGGGGGUUGGAAAGCUUCGGCGGUUUUGGAUGGACUCGCGGCUUAUCAGCUUGUUGGUGGGGUAGUGGCUUACCAAGGCUUUGACGGGUAGCCGGCCUGAGAGGGCGACCGGCCACAUUGGGACUGAGAUACGGCCCCGACUCCUACGGGAGGCAGCAGUGGGGAAUAUUGCACAAUGGGCGGCAGCCUGAUGCAGCAGCGCCGCGUGCGGGAUGACGGCCUUCGGGUUGUAAACCGCUUUCAGCAGGGGCGAAGCUUGUGGUGACGGUACCUGCAGAAGAAGCACCGGCUAACUACGUG
rnacentral:rRNA from 1 species